rnacentral:lncRNA from 1 species
GGCUCAAUUAUAUAAACUUGAUGUAUAAUUUUUAUUACCAUGCUCAUGAACUUAUAAUAUCCUAUACACAUCAAAAGUCUGAACAAGUUAGUGAGCUCAACAAGAUACACAUAAUCUUAUCAUAAACACAUAAUAAUAACAUACCAAAUAUAUCUUUCAUUCAUCACAAAUACCAUUUUGCAUAACACAUUCCAUUCAAAGAAUUAAACCAUCAUCUGCCAUUUCAACAUUCAUAAUCACAUUACACUUCAUAUAAUUUAACUCACAUUUUAAUUCAUUAAUACUUGUUGAACCAAAUGAAACAAAUGACUUUAUUAUGGCAUAAAACAUUACAAGUACACUUAUUUAAAACUCAAUUCAACCUUCUAUUUGCAUAAUAAACUUCAAUCCAUUAAUAUAAUACUCAUAAGUUCUUAUUCACAUACCGAACCUUAGAAUAUUGAUAUAAUAGUCAUUCCAUUUAUAUCAUUUUCAAUUGUUUCAUUGUUCCGAAGAUGCUAUGGUAUCUUUCAACCAAUGUCUUACACAAUCCCGAAGUGAUGCCAUAGUAUCUUUCAACUAUGGCCUUGAUCGUUUUCCAGUAUAGUGACGUAGCAUCUUUCAACUGUGGUCUUUUCCUUUUUGAUUAUAAUGCCAUGAUAUCUCUCAAUCAUGGUCUUUCCCUUUUCUCAAAUCAAUG